UUUCGAGACCUAUCAAUCUAGUUGUAGGGGUACAGUGAUCAGGUUACGAUGGAUUUCUGAAGUAACGGCCUCGUAACUUGGUCACCAUAUCCAUAUGACUCAGAUAACUACGCUGUUCUGU
rnacentral:precursor_RNA from 14 species